rnacentral:rRNA from 1 species
AACGAACGCUGGCGGCAUGCCUAACACAUGCAAGUCGAACGAGACCUUCGGGUCUAGUGGCGCACGGGUGCGUAACGCGUGGGAACCUGCCCUUAGGUUCGGAAUAACUCCCCGAAAGGGGUGCUAAUACCGGAUAAUGUCUUCGGACCAAAGAUUUAUCGCCUUUGGUUGGGCCCGCGUUGGAUUAGCUAGUUGGUAGGGUAAAAGCCUACCAAGGCGACGAUCCAUAGCUGGUUUGAGAGGAUGAUCAGCCACACUGGGACUGAGACACGGCCCAGACUCCUACGGGAGGCAGCAGUGGGGAAUAUUGGACAAUGGGCGAAAGCCUGAACCAGCUAUGCCGCGUGAGUGAUGAAGGCCUUAGGGUUGUAAAGCUCUUUUACCCGGGAUGAUAAUGACAGUACCGGGAGAAUAAGCCCCGGCUAACUCCGUG